rnacentral:rRNA from 1 species
GUAUAUUAAAGUUGUUGUGGUUAAAAAGCUCGUAGUUGAACCUUGGGCCUGGCUGGCCGGUCCGCCUCCCCGCGUGUUUUGGUUCGGCCGGGCCUUUCCCUCUGUGGGACCCCAUGCCCUUCACUGGGUGUGGCGGGGAAACAGGACUUUUNCUGUGAAAAAAUUAGAGUGCUCCAGGCAGGCCUAUGCUNGAAUACAUUAGCAUGGGAUAAUAGAAUAGGACGUGUGGNUCUAUUUUGUUGGUUUCUAGGACCGCCGUAAUGAUUAAUAGGGACAGUCGGGGGCAUCAGUAUUCAAUUGUCAGAGGUGAAAUUCUUGGAUUUAUUGAAGACUAACUACUGCGAAAGCAUUUUCCAAGGAUGUUUUCUUUAAUCAGGAGCGAAAGUUAGGGGAUCGAAGACGAUCANAUACCGUCGUAGUCUUAACCAUAAACUAUGCCGACUAGGGAUCGGACGGUGUUAUUUUUUGACCCGUUCGGCACCUUACGAGAAAUCAAAGUGCUUGGGCUCCAGGGGGAGUAUGGUCGCAAGGCUGAAACUUAAAGAAAUUGACGGAAGGGCACCACCAGGGGUGGAGCCUGCGGCUUAAUUUGACUCAACACGGGGAAACUCACCAGGUCCAGACACAAUGAGGAUUGACAGAUUGAGAGCUCUUUCUUGAUUUUGUGGGUGGUGGUGCAUGGCCGUUCUUAGUUGGUGGAGUGAUUUGUCUGCUUAAUUGCGAUAACGAACGAGACC